rnacentral:rRNA from 1 species
UACGUAGGGUGCGAGCGUUAAUCGGAAUUACUGGGCGUAAAGCGUGCGUAGGCGGUUCGUUAAGUCAGUUGUGAAAGCCCCGGGCUCAACCUGGGAAUUGCGGUUGAAACUGGCGAACUAGAAUCUGGCAGAGGGGGGUGGAAUUCCACGGUGUAGCAGUGAAAUGCGUAGAGAUGUGGAGGACACCGAUGGCGAAGGCAGCCCCCUGGGCUGAGAUUGACGCUCAGGC